UCGGAUUGGUGGUGGAUAUAUGGUUGUGGUAUAUGGCAGCGGUGGUGGUAUAUGGUAGCGGUGGUGGUAUAUGGAUACAGAUUGGUGGUGGUAUAUGGAUACGGAUUGGUGGUGGUAUAUGGAUAUGGAUUCAGAGCGGUGGCGGAUAAGCAAAAGUGGUAGAUGGGCGAUGAUGAUGGUGUGGCGGCGGCGUGACAACUUAUGACCAGAACUCGAAACUCUAAAAGACUAGACUCUAAGACCAGCAACUUGACACGACGAUGCAACCGCAAAUUCAACAAAGCAAAAACCCUAAAAAGAUUAUGCAAAGGCUCAGAUUGGUUCGGAUAUGAUGAACUAACCCUAAUUUUUUUUCUGGCUUUUUCGUGGACUGUAGGUAUGAAGAACAGACUCGAUCUAAUCUAUGAAAGACUGUAAAAUCUCACCGAGCAACCUAGAAAUCUGAUACCACUUGAUAGGGGCUAAGGUGUCCCGAUGUUUCGAUGAGAUGGUGGCUAUCGUUUUCUGUGGGAGUCGACCUUGACAAUCCGACUACGAACGUGCGAGACGUCGCGCCUUAGCAAUCGCUAAACCAACUUCCGAGGGUUAUUGACCACGCCGGAGCACGAUCAACCUGACCACGAGGGUCUGUUUCCUGCGUGAUAGAGGCAAAGGUGUCCCGUCUUUCGAUGAGAUGAUGGAUAUCGCUUUGGUGGCAGUCGACUUUGACGAUCCGACUACGAACGUGCGAGGAUGUCGCGCCUUAGCAAUCGCUAAACCAACUCCGAGAGGUUAUUGACCCCGCUGGAGCACGAUCAACCUGACCACGAGGGUCUGUUUCCUGCGAGCAAACGAAGAACAAGCAAGAAACUAAGAUUGCAAUCUGGAUAUUGCGAUUAUAAGAUGAAAGAUUUAUUGAUCAAGGUGGGGUUCUGUGACGCCUUUGUCUGGUCGUUGAACACAAACGAAGUACGCGAAGUUGCAGCUAUGGCGAACUUUUAAUCUAAACAAAACGCAAAGUCUAAACGGUGCCCUAAGGGCUGUAUAUAUGGAGGAAGAGAGGGGGAAUUUCGUGGCCCUUGGUGGAGGGGUCCGAAAUCAACCCUAUCUCUUGUUUCCCCACACAUACGGACUCUAAAAAUAGCCUAUACUUAUGUAUUUCGAAAUUACAUGGGCCUGGCCCAAUAAAAAGGUGACGCAGCACCUAUAAUAGCCUCUGGACGAAAUUUAUGAAGUGACAUCUUGUAUAUUUCGUCCAAGGUUUCAUGCACUCGUUAUGGAGGCUUCAAAGACCUGAAAUCAUCACUUGUAACUCUGUUCUUGUUCCCCUUGCGCAUGCCAUCAUCUCCAUGCUUGUUCUUGCUCCAAUGUUCAUCCUUCUCCAAGCUAGGCCCUUCAUUUGUAAGCAAAACAAAUGUAUCCAAUUUAGGCAGCAUCAUAUUCUCAUGAACAUUAGAAUCAUUACCAAGAAACGAAAGUACCUGGUAAUUUAGUUGGCGUGCGCGAGCUCUAGUAAUUGGUCCAGUAUGUAUAGCAGCAGGGUCUGUGGGUGUAACAAUGGUAUUGAUGUCCUCAUCAUCCUCCCCUUCUUGAAAUGAAGUCGUCCUCGCCGGCAGCUCAUCUUCCUCACCCAAAUAAGGCUUCAAAUCUGCAAUGUUAAAAGUGGGACUAACCCCAAAAUCUGCAGGCAGCACAAGUUUAUAUGCAUUAUCAUUUAUUUUCUCUAACACCUUAAAGGGACCAUCAGCACGUGGCAUGAGCUUUGAUUUGCGCAAAUCAGGAAAUCUAUCCUUACGCAAAUGUAACCAAACAAGAUCUCCAGGUGCAAACAUAACAUGUUUUCUACCCUUAUCUCCAGCAAGUUUAUAUUUGGCAUUCAUACGCUCAAUGUUUUCCUUAGUUAACUCAUGCAUUUUUAAAAUCAUUCAGCACGUUGUUUGGCAUCAAAAUUAACCUUCUCCGAAGAUGGAAGAGGCAACAAAUCAAUAGGUGCACGAGGUAGGAAACCAUACACAACUUCAAAAGGGCACAUCUUAGUAGUAGAAUGCAGUGAACGAUUAUAAGCAAAUUCAAUAUGAGGCAAGCAUUCCUCCCACAUUUUCUUAUUACUCUUCAAAACAGCCCUAAGCAUAGUAGACAAUGUUCUAUUGACUACUUCAGUUUGGCCAUCAGUUUGGGGGUGACAAGUAGUACUAAAAAGCAGUUUAGUCCCCAACUUAGCCCAUAAACAUCUCCAAAAGUGGCUAAGAAAUUUAGUAUCACGAUCUGAAACAAUAGUAUUUGGGACACCAUGCAAGCGAAUAAUUUCACGAAAGAACAAAUCAGCAACAUUAACAGCAUCAUCGCUUUUAUGACAUGGUUUAAAGUGUGCCAUUUUCGAGAAUCUAUCCACGACAACAAAUAUGCUAUCCCUCCCCUUCUUUGUUCGAGGUAAACCUAAAACAAAGUCCAUAGAUAUAUCCUCCCAAGGAACACUAAGUACAGGCAAAGGCAUAUAUAAACCAUGAGGAUUGAGUCGUGACUUAGCUUUUUGACAUGUAGUGCAUCGAGCAAUAAAACGCUCAACAUCCCGUCUCAUCUUUGGCCAAAAGAAAUGUGUAGCAAGUACGUCCUCCAUCUUUUUCACGCCAAAGUGUCCCAUUAAUCCUCCUCCAUGCGCCUCCUGCAACAACAAAAGACGAACGGAGCUAGCUGGAAUGCAUAGCUUGUUAGCACGAAACACAAAUCCAUUGUUAACAACAAAAUUGUUCCACAUUCGACCUUCUUUACAAUUUUGCAUUACAUCUUCAAAAUCAGCAUCAUGCACAUAUUGAUCUUUGAUGGUCUCCAAACCAAAUAUUUUGAAGUCAAGUUGUGAAAGCAUAGUAUAGCGAUGAGACAAUGCAUCAGCAAUAACAUUUUCUUUUCCCUUCUUGUGUUUAAUGACAUAAGGGAAAGUCUCAAUGAAUUCAACCCAUUUAGCAUGUCUACGAUUCAGUUUAGCUUGACUUUUAAUAUGUUUCAAAGAUUCAUGAUCAGAAUGUAUAACAAAUUCUUUGGGCCAUAAAUAAUGUUGCCAUGUUUCUAAAGUCCGAACAAGAGCAUAUAAUUCUUUAUCAUAAGUAGAAUAAUUCAGACUAGGCCCACUCAAUUUUUCAGAAAAGUAUGCAACAGGUUUGCCAUAUUGUAAUAACACACCUCCUAAUCCAAUUCCACUAGCAUCACAUUCAAGCUCAAAAGUCUUAUUAAAAUCAGGAAGUUGGAGUAAAGGAGCAUGUGUCAACCUAUCUUUCAAUCCCGAGAAGGCUUCUUCCUGUGCGGUACCCCAAAGAAAAGACACAUCUUUCUUUGUAAGCUCAUUGAGAGGUGCAGCAAUGGUGCUGAAAUCUCUCACAAAACGCCUAUAGAAUCCAGCGAGGCCAAGAAAACUCCUCACUUGUGUGACCGUUUUGGGCUGCGGCCAACUCUCAAUAGCUUCAUUCUUGGCUUUAUCAACUUCAAUUCCCUGUGGAGUAACAACAUAGCCAAGAAAAGAUACUCGGUCGGUGCAAAAGGUGCACUUCCCAAGGUUACCAAACAAACGUGCAUCACGUAGAGCAAUAAAAACAGCACGUAAAUGUUCCAAAUGUUCUUCCAAAGAUCUGCUAUAAAUCAAUAUGUCAUCAAAGUAAACUACCACAAAUCUUCCAAUGAAAGCACGUAAAACUUCGUUCAUUAAUCUCAUGAAAGUACUAGGUGCAUUAGUUAACCCAAAAGGCAUGACUAACCACUCAUAUAAUCCAAACUUAGUUUUAAAUGCUGUUUUCCAUUCAUCUCCCAAUUUCAUAUGAAUUUGAUGGUAUCCACUACGCAAAUCAACUUUGGAGAAUAUUGUAGAGCCACUCAAUUCAUCAAGCAUAUCAUCUAGCCUAGGAAUAGGAUGACGAUAACGAAUAGUAAUAUUAUUAAUGCCUCUACAAUCAACACACAUACGUGAUGUACCAUCCUUUUUCGGCACUAGAAUAAUAGGAACAGCACAAGGACUAAGGGAUUCGCAUAUAUAACCUUUGUCGAGAAGCUCUUGUACUUGACGCAUAAUCUCCUUCGUCUCCUCUGGAUUGGUACGGUAUGGUGCACGGUUUGGCAGUGAAGCACCGGGAAUUAAGUCAAUCUGAUGCUCAAUCCCUCAAAUAGGCGGUAAUCCCGGUGGCACGUCUUGUGGAAAGACGUCAGCGAACUCCUGCAAAAUGUUAGUGACAGCAGGAGGCAAAGAGGAAGGCAUGUCCUCGAAUGAAAAUAAUGCCUCUUUGCACACAAAAGCAUAGCAAACAGAUUUGCUGAAAUCUAGCUCAUCAAUAUCAGAUUUGGUGGCAAAUAAACAUGCACUUUUCAAUUUAAUUUCAGAAGCAACACUAGAUGGUUUAUUAUUAGGCUUCAUUUGUUGCUCAAAUUCUUUUUCCACAAUCUGAUUUUCACUCUUAUUCUUCUCCUGUUUUGCUUUAUUAGCUCUAUUAAUAUCAUCUUUCAAAAUGGAAUCAGGAGUCAUAGGAAGCAAAGUAAUAUUUUUAUCCUUAUGAACAAGAGUAUAGUGAUUGUUUCUACCAUGAUGUACAGAAUUUUUAUCAAAUUUCCAUGGUCUACCAAGUAAUAAGGAACAUGCUUGCAUAGGUACCACAUCACAAUCAACAUAAUCAGCAUAUGUAGAUAUACUAAAAUGCACACGAACAGUACGUGUUACCUUAACCUUGCCGCUGUUGUUGAACCAUUGGAUGUAGUAAGGAUGUGGAUGUGGUCUUGUGGUGAGAGAAAGCUUCUCCACCAUCUCCAUGCUAGCCAAGUUGUUGCAGCUCCCUCCAUCUAUGAUGACGCGCACAGAACAUUCUUUCACAACUCCCUUGGUAUGGAACAAAUUGUGCCUCUGAUUUUGCUCAGCUUGUGUGACCUGCACACUCAAAACACGUUGAGCAUAUAAACAUUCAUACCUGUCAGCGUCUUCAGGAGCCAUGUAUUGCGUCUCAUGAUCAGAAUCAUCUCCACCAUGUUCUUCACGUGUAAUAAGAGCCAAAGUCUCCUCAUCAUAGUCACCAGCGGACUCAUAUCCACCAUCCGCGGUAGCAAUCAUCACACGCGGAGAUUUGCAUUCUCUCGCAUAAUGACCUCCUCCCUUACAACGACGACAAAUAAUAUCACUUGUGUGCCCUGUUGAUGCCAUGGAAGAAGAAGAACUCUGUGCAGGCCCAGCAGGUGCGCUCUUGGCAGAUAAUGGUGGUUGUGCCUGUUUUCUUGUAUCACGACUGGAGGAGGCACGUGAUUGAGGUGCUGGUGCAGUUGAAGUAGAAGAUGCACGCGGUGUCCAUGAUGAAGGUCGGCCUGCAGAAAAGUUAGUUCGCGCCAAUGCUUGUCGAUCAUGCACUUCACGUUCAGCUUUACAAGCAAGAUGGAAUAAACGAGUGAUAUUAGUAUACUCCUUAUAGUCUAGAAUGGUCUGAAUCUCUCUAUUUAAUCCACCCAGAAAACAUGCACAUAGCUUCAUUCUCCUCAACAAUACCACAUCUAAUCAUGCCAGUUUGUAAUUCCUGAUAAUAUUCUUCUACAGAAUUUUUUCCUUGUCUUAAGCGCUGUAAUUUUUGAAGCAAUUCACGCUGAUAAUAUGGUGGAACCCAACGAGUACGCAUAGCAGUUUUCAAAGCAGCCCAAGUAGUUGGAAUAGGAGAUAAUCUACAAUGUUCAGACCACCAUACACAUGCAAAACUAGUGAAAGCACAAACAGCAGCAGCAACUCGUCUCUCCUCAGGAUAUUGUAAACAUGUAACUUGUUGUUCAGUUUCUAACUCCCAAGUAAGAUAUAUAUCAGGAACAUAUCUACCCUCAAAUGGUGGAAUAUUCAAUUUCAGUUUAGGAAUAUGGACAUCAUCUCGUACCUGAGGUGGUGGUGCAUGCCUACCAUUACGAAUAUAUACCUGAGGUCGACCUGCUGGUGGUGGUGCAGGUGGCUGCACGUAGUGCUGAUUUUGAUCAACCUCAUCCUCAUAAUCUCCCACAUAAUCAUCCUCCUCCGCAUUAGCAGCAGGAGCCACAGAACUAUCAACAGCAGCACCAACAGUUUGGCCAAACGCAAGAGGAACACGGCUCGCUCGGCGAAGGUCUGUUUCGCGACGUGGAGGUAGUCGUUGUUGUUGUUGUUGGAGAGGUGCGUUAGGUGCAGCGGGUGGUGGUGGUGGAAGACACGCGAGCAAUUCAUUAAACUUGUUAUCGAGCUUUGUUUCGAACGUCUUCUCCAUGCCAUCUAUCUUCUCCAUGGCGUCUUCAAAUCUGCUUAGCACAUCUUGCACCUGUCCACUCAUCAUUUGCUGAAAUUUAUCAUGCAAAUCCUUAUUCGUCAUGUUCUCCCAGUCAGUCUCGUCGGCUUGUGAUCCUGGCAUGGUUAGCAGCAAUAGAAACACACAAGAAUAUGAUCCUACAGACUACUAACAAGAGGUGGUGGUGGGUGUCACAAAUCCGUCAAGCAAAUCUCAAAUUCUUACCAGUUCUUACCCAGCAGCAGGCGGUGAUCGGCAACCGUUGUAGUCAAAAACUCUCAAAGCUUGGAUAGAGCGAUUACCAGGGAGAGUCAACCGCACGACGUAGAUGUAUGUGGAGCUGGGAAGGCUUAUAAUAUGGUAGCAAAAAGGGUCAGCAUUAAUCAAUUCAGAGAUGCAAAGUUGAAUAAACGCUCAACGACGGUACUGUGCUGGUCCUAGACUAGACUGUGCUAGAGACGCGAGCCUAGAACACCAACAAAAUCACGGUGCGGCACGUAAACAAGGGAAAAGCACACUCUGGAAUUUUUUUUCGCUCUUUUUUUGCGCUCUUUUUUUUUGCGCUGCUUUUUUUUUGCGAAAAAUCACUAUAAUGGCGACUGUCUCAAAACUCUUCCUAGCUCAAACUGACAGGGUGGGCACGAAAAUUUUUUGACCAAUUUUUUUUUUCGACUGCCCGGACCCAAAAACUGGAAACGGGUCAAAAAAAACUUCCUAUAAUGGCACCUGUCUCAAAACACUCAGAAACACCUAAAAAUAGGAUAGCCAGAAUUUUUUUUGAAAAAUGCGUUUUAGAAAAAUUUUGGGCCUAAAUGGAGCGUGGUUUCCGGAACCUACUCCGGCAAGGAAACACGAAUCGGAAUCUAGAUGGAUCUCGAAAACAAACCUAAUAUGACAAGAACUCGGAUUGGUGGUGGAUAUAUGGUGGUAGAUGGCAGCGGUGGUGGUAUAUGACAGCUGUGGUGGUAUAUGGAUACGGAUUCGAAGCGGUGGCGGAUAAGCGGUGGUGGUAGAUGGCAGGGGUGAUGAUGAUGGUGCGGCGGCGGCGUGACAACUUAUGACCAGAACUCGAAACUCUAAAAGACUAGAUUCUAAGACCAGCAACUAGACACGACGAUGCAACCGCAAAUUCAACAAAGCAAAACCCUAAAAAGAUUAUGCAAAGGCUCAGAUUGGUUCGGAUAUGAUGAACUAACCCUAAUUUUUUUGUGGCUUUUUCGUGGACUAUAGGUAUGAAGAACAGACUCGAUCUAAACUACGAAAAACUGUAAAAUCUCACCGCGCAACCUGGAAAUCUGAUACCACUUGAUAGAGGCAAAGAUGUCCCGUCUUUCGAUGAGAUGAUGGAUAUCGCUUUGGUGGCAGUCGACUUUGACGAUCCGACUACGAACGUGCGAGGACGUCGCGCCUUAGCAACCGCUAAACCAACUCCGAGAGGUUAUUGACCACGCCGGAGCACGAUCAACCUGACCACGAGGGUCUGUUUCCUGCGAGCAAACGAAGAACAAGCAAGAAACUAAGAUUGCAAUCUGGAUAUUGCGAUUAUAAGAUGAAAGAUUUAUUGAUCAAGGUGGGGUUCUAUGACGCCUUUGUCUGGUCGUUGAACACAAACGAAGUACACAAAGUUGCAGCUAUGGCGAACUUUUAAUCUAAACAAAACCCAAAGUCUAAACGGUGCCCUAAGGGCUGUAUAUAUGGAGGAAGAGAGGGGGAAUUUCGUGGCCCUUGGUGGAGGGGUCCGAAAUCAACCCUAUCUCUUGUUUCCCCACACAUACGGACUCUAAAAAUAGCCUAUACUUAUGUAUUUCGAAAUUACAUGGGCCUGGCCCAAUAAAAAGGUGAUGCAGCACCUAUAAUAGCCUCUGGACGAAAUUUAUGAAGUAACAUCUUGUAUAUUUCGUCCAAGGCUUCAUGCACUCGUUAUGGAGGCUUCAAAGACCUGAAAUCAUCACUUGUAACUCUGUUCUUGUUCCCCUUGCGCAUGCCAUCAUCUCCAUGCUUGUUCUUGCUCCAAUGUUCAUCCUUCUCCAAGCUAGGCCCUUCAUUUGCAAGCAAAACAAAUGUAUCCAAUUUAGGCAGCAUCAUAUUCUCAUGAACAUUAGAAUCAUUACCAAGAAACGAAAGUACCUGGUAAUUUAGUUGGCGUGCGCGAGCUCUAGUAAUUGGUCCAGUAUGUAUAGCAGCAGGGGCUGUGGGUGUAACAAUGGUAUUGAUGUCCUCAUCACUGCGAGCAAACGAAGAACAAGCAAGAAACUGAGAUUGCAAUCGGGAUAUUGCGAAUAUAAGAUGAAAGCUUUAUUGAUCAAGGUGGGGUUCUGUGACGUCUUGGUCUGGUCGUUGGACACAAACGAAGUACGCGAAGUUGCAGCUAUGGCGAACUUUUAAUCUAAACAAAACCCAAAGUCUAAACGACGCCCUAAGGGCUGUAUAUAUGGAGGAAGAGGGGGGAAUUUCGUGGCCCUUGAGGGUGGGGUCCGAAACCAACCCUAACUCUUGUUUCCCCACACAUACGGACUCUAAAAAUAGCCUAUACUUAAGUAUUUCGAAAUUACAUGGGCCUGGCCCAUUAAUAAGGUGACGCAGCACCUAGAAUAGCCUAUGGACGAAUAUUAUGAAGUGGCAUCUUGUAUAUUUCGUCCAAGGCUUCAUGCACUCCUUAUGGCGGCUUCAAACUCCUGAAAUCAUCACUUGUAACUCCGUUCUUGAUCCCCUUGCGCAUGCCAUCAACUCCAUGCGUGUUCUUGCUCCAAUGUUCAUCCUUCUCCAAGCUAGGCCCUUCAUUUGUAAGCAAAACAAAUGUAUCCAAUUUAGGCAGCAUCAUAAUCUCAUGAACAUUAGAAUCAUUACCAAGAAACGAAAGUACCUGGUAAUUUAAUUGGCGUGCGCGAGCUCUAGUAAUUGGUCCAGUAUAUGUAACAGUAGGGGCUGUGGGUGUAACAAUGGUAUUGAUGUCCUCAUCACCUGAUCAACCCGAUAACGCUUAUUCUUCUCUCUAUUGCUUGCAUUAGAGUAGUGUACCAUGUUACUGCUUUCCGUUAAGCAUAUUCUGAUGAAUAGCCUACCUUUGCUACUACUGUUGUUACCUUUACCCGCAAUCCUAAUUGCUUAGUAUAGGAUGCUAGUUUAUCAUCAGUGGCCCUACAUUCUUGUCCGUCUGCCAUGCUGUACUAUCGGGGCGUGAUCACUCAGGAGGUGAUCACUAGUAUAUACUUAUAUACAUAACAUAUGAUACUUGUGAUGACUAAAGUAGGGUCGGCUCGUAGAGUAGCCGCGAGUGAUUCACGGAUUGGGGGCUCGAAGGACAUUUGUCCCGACGGCCCUCUGGGUGGAUCUUUGUGGCGGAGCGACAGGGCAGGUUGAGACCACCUAGGUGAGAGGUGGGCCUGGCCCUAGUCGGCGUCCGCGGUUACUUCAAAAUAACACGCUUAACGAGAUCUUGGUAUUUGAUCUCGUGACGUCAGCGACUGAGCGGCGCGCACCGGGUUGGACCGCGUAACGCAACUUCCUUUAAAAUGGAGGUUGCUAGGUCUACUCACCGGCCGCCCUCGCAACGUCCAGGUGUGCAAUGGGCGAUGGGCCUAGACCCCUGCGCCAUAGGUUUUAGACCGGCGUGCUGACCUCUCUAUUGUGCCUAGGUGGGGCUGCGAUGUGUUGAUCUUCCGAGGCCGGGCAUGACCCAGGAAAGUGUGUCCGGCCAAAGGGGAUCGAGCGUGUUGGGUUAUGUGGUGCACCCCUGCAGGGAUGUUUAUCUAUUUGAAUAGCCGUGUCCCUCGGUAAAAGGACGACCCGGAGUUGUACCUUGACGUUAUGACAACUAGAAUCAGAUACUUAAUAAAACACACCCUUGCAAGUGCCAGAUACAACCCGGUGAUCGCUCUCUAACAAGGCGACGAGGAGAGGAUCGUCGGGUAGGAUUAUGCUAUGCGAUGAUACUUGGUGAACUUACCAUCUACUCUCUUCUACAUGCUGCAAGAUGGAGGCUGGCAGAAGUGUAGUCUUUGAUAGGACUAGCUAUCCCCCUCUUAUUCUAGCAUUCUGAAGUUCAGUCCACCGAUAUUACCCCUUUACACUAAUACCCAUGCAUAUGUAGUGUAGAUCCUUGCUUGCGAGUACUUUGGAUGAGUACUCAUGGUUGCUUUGCUUCCCCCUUUUCCCCUUUCUAUACAUGGUGGUCACAACCAGAUGCUGGAGCCCAGGAGUCAGACGCCACCGUCGACGACGACUCCUACUACACUGGACGUGCCUACUACUACAUGCAGGUCGCUGACGACCGGGAGUAGUUUAGGAGGAUCCCAGGCAGGAGGCCAGCGCCUCUUUCAAUCUGUAUCCCAGUUUGUGCUAGCCAUCUUAUGGCAACUUGUUUAACUUAUGUCUGUACUCAGAUAUUGUUGCUUCCGCUGACUCGUUUAUAAUCGAGCUCUUGUAUUCGAGCCCUCGAGGCCCCUGGCUUGUAAUAUGAUGCUUGUAUGCCUUAUUUUAUUUUUAGAGUUGUGUUGUGAUAUCUUCCAGUGAGUCCCGGAUCUUGAUCGUACACGUUUGCAUGCAUGAUUAGUGUACGAUUGAAUUGGGGGCGUCACACCAUUGCCCCCAUUGACCGGGGGGAAAGACCAUUUGUUUUGGGGCAGCUGAUAGCGGCGGGGGUGCGGGGCGUUGGCUGUUUGUUGCUGCUACAGGCAGGGAGGAGAGGGGGAGCGGUCCUGGCGACAAGGAGGAGUAGAUGGCGAGUGGCGCCGGGAGGAGCGCCACGGCUCGUCCGAUGGAGACCGUAGCCGGUCCCGGAGCUCGUCCCUCAGGGAAGCGCGCCGGCCAGGCGAGCGGCGGGGCUCCCCCCGGGGCGACGGAGGGUUCGCACGCGCCGGCGAGCGGCGGGACUCGCGGGGAGGAGGGAAGCGAUAGGACUCCCUGGUCGAUAGUUGCCGGCGUAGAUCGGCUUCGCGCUAGAGGCCCUCAAGGGAGGAGCGGGGAGGAUCGCGGAGGACCCAUAACCCACAGUUCCACAGGAUCCAAACCUGACUCUCCUGUACACCCCCUGUUUCCAUAGUAUUCCUCGCGCGUGGCCUCAUAUGUAAUUCACGAGCCACCUCUCAAGAGAUCAUUAAGCCUGCUAUCAGAUACAAUACUUAUUCUCAUUGCUUUGAGCCCCUUUCACGCCCUGUUUCAGGCAUUGAACGCUUGCCUGGCCACUCGAAACUUCCCAUGAUACCUCCUUACUUUCCUCUCGAUAUUUUCGUAAGUUUCCAUUCGAGAGUUACUUUCCGCCACCUUCCCCAAUGUUAUCUACCAGAUAUUCAAGCUUGCCGAGGUUCGUUCUCCCGGAAUGCUCCCCCUUUAUUCUUUCGUAAGCACGAUGAAGACCCCAAAGAAAGAACAACAACUUCAUCUUGAUGCAUUGAUGCAUAGGAAUGAAGACAUCGAGGCAAUUGGUCAACCUCUUCGAGAAUAGCAAUCAAGAACGAGAAGAUUCAUUGCAAUUUCAUAACCAGACCCUUUCCCCCUUGUUCCACCUCUUAAAUCUCGGGACGAGAUUUCUUAUAGUGGAGGAGAAUGGUGACGCCCGGAUAAUUAAGCUACAGUGAACCUAUGUUAAUGAUGCCACGUCACCUCGGUUACUAAUGAUAAUAUCGCGUUAGUUGAAAACGAUUCAAUUUCAAAUUUGAAUUAAAGUCAAAUGAGAAAUGUUUUCAAAAAUUAAAACUACAAUGUUAUGGAUGUGACGAAUAAUUCAUAAGUAAUAUUGGUGGAGCCACCAAGUCUUUAUAAAAUGUAUAAAUGCACUAAACUAAAUAAAAUAGUAAAAAAACAUUUAUUUAAAUGAUUUUAAAAUAAUAAACAGUUACAAACUAUUUUGUUUUAGGUGCAAAGCUAAUUCUGGUAGGGGCAUAAUUAUUAAUGCUCUUUUAGGUACAACUUUGUAUUUUAUAAAAGCUAAAAUUUAAUAAAAUAGAAUAGAACAUUAAACAAAAAGAAAGAAAAAACAGUAAAGAAAAAAAGGAUUGAAAAGGCCCUCCAAUGGGUCGAAUGGGGCCCGCUCGUGUAUUAAAUGAAAAUGAAAAACAAAUAAAUAAUAAUAAUAAUUAACUUAAUUAAUUAACUAAACUAAUUAACUUAACUAACUAACCUAAUUAAGCUAUUAAUUAAACUAAUUAACCAUUAACAGACAAUGACGAGUGGGACCCACAUGUCAGUUUGACCGGUCAACGGUCAGAGUUGACCGAUGAUAUCAUGCUGACAUCAUUUUUGUAUUUUCUAAUUUAAUUAAUUCUGUUAAUCCUAAAAAUGAUUUAAAUCUUUAUAAAUUAAUAUAAAAUAAUCCGUAACUCGGAUGAAAAUACUUUGUACAUGAAAGUUCUCAGAACGACGAGACGAAUCCAGAUACGUAGCCCGUUCGUCCGCCACACAUCCCUAGCAUAGCGAACAUGCAAUUCUCCCCCUCCGUUCAUCUAUCCGAAAACGUGAAACACCGGGGAUACUUUUCCCGAAUGUUUCCCCCCUUCACCGUUAUCACCUCCUACUGCAUUAGGGCACACCUGGCACCGUUACUUGUCAUGUCAUGCAUCAAUAUGCAUCUAUUUGCAUUGUAUUCAUUGCUUCUUCCCCCUCUUCUCUUUGGUAGACUACGAUGCUGACGCCACUGCUAGUGCCCCGAUUGAGUACGUUGUUGACGACCCCUCCUUCUCGCCAGAGCAACCAGGCAAGCCCCCCCUGAUCAACCCGAUAUCACCUAUUCUUCUCUCUAUUGCUUGCAUUAGAGUAGUGUACCAUGUUACUGCUUUCGGUUAAUCAUAUUCUGAUGAAUAGCCUAUCUUUGCUACUACUGUUGUUACCUUUACCCGCAAUCCUAAUUGCUUAGUAUAGGAUGCUAGUUUAUCAUCAGUGGCCCUACAUUCUUGUCCGUCUGCCAUGCUAUACUAUCGGGGCGUGAUCACUCAGGAGGUGAUCACUAGUAUAUACUUAUAUACAUAACAUAUGAUACUUGUGAUGACUAAAGUAGGGUCGGCUCGUAGAGUACCCGCGAGUGAUUCACGGAUUGGGGGCUCGAAGGACAUUUGUCCCGACGGCCCUCUGGGUGGAUCUUUGUGGCGGAGCGACAGGGCAGGUUGAGACCACCUAGGUGAGAGGUGGGCCUGGCCCUAGUCGGCGUCCGCGGUUACUUCAAAAUAACACGCUUAACGAGAUCUUGGUAUUUGAUCUCAUGACGUCAGCGACUGAGCGGCGCGCACCGGGUUGGACCGCGUAAUGCAACUUCCUUUAAAAUGGAGGUUGCUAGGUCUGCUCACUGGCCGCCUUCACAACAUGCAGGUGUGCAAUGGGCGAUGGGUCCAGACCCCUGCGCCAUAGGUUUUAGACUGGCGUGCUGACCUCUCUAUUAUGCCUAGGUGGGGCUGCGAUGUGUUGAUCUUCCGAGGCCGGGCAUGACCCUGGAAAGUGUGUCCGGGCAAAGGGGAUCGAGCGUGUUGGGUUAUGUGGUGCACCCCUGCAGGGAAGUUUAUCUAUUUAAAUAGCCGUGUCCCUCGGUAAAAGGACGACCCGGAGUUGUACCUUGACCUUAUGACAACCAGAAUCAGAUACUUAAUAAAACACACCUUUUCAAGUGCCAGAUACAACCCGGUGAUCGCUCUCUAACAAGGCGACGAGGAGAGGAUCGUCGGGUAGGAUUAUGCUAUGCGAUGAUAGAACUUACCAUCUACUCUCUUCUACAUGCUGCAAGAUGGAGGCUGCCAGAAGUGUAGUCUUCGAUAGGACUAGCUAUCCCCCUCUUAUUCUAGCAUUCUGAAGUUCAGUCCACCGAUAUUGCCCCUUUACACUAAUACCCAUGCAUAUGUAGUGUAGAUCCUUGCAUGCAAGUACUUUGGAUAAGUACUCACGGUUGCUUUGCUUCCCCUUUUCCCCUUUCUAUACAUGGUGGUCACUACCAGAUGCUGGAGCCCAGGAGUCAGACGCCACCGUCGACGACGACUCCUACUACACUAGACGUGCCUACUACUACAUGCAGGUCGCUGACGACGACCAGGAGUAGUUUAGGAGGAUCCCAGGCAGGAGGCCAGCGCCUCUUUCAAUCUGUAUCCCAGUUUGUGCUAGCCAUCUUAUGGCAACUUGUUUAACUUAUGUCUGUACUCAGAUAUUGUUGCUUCCGCUGACUCGUCUAUAAUCGAGCUCUUGUAUUCGAGCCCUCGAGGCCCCUGGCUUGUAAUAUGAUGCUUGUAUGCCUUAUUUUAUUUAUGAGUUGUGUUGUGAUAUCUUCCAGUGAGUCCCGGAUCUUGAUCGUACACAUUUGCAUGCAUGAUUAGUGUACGAUUGAAUUGGGGGCGUCACACCAUUGCCCCCAUUGACCGGGGGGAAAGACCAUUUGUUUUGGGGCAGCUGAUAGCGGCGGGGGUGCGGGGCGUUGGCUGUUUGUUGCUGCUGCAGGCAGGGAGGAGAGGGGGAGCGGUCCUGGUGACAAGGAGGAGUAGAUGGCGAGUGGCGCCGGGAGGAGCGCCACGGCUCGUCCGAUGGAGACCGCAGCCGGUCCCGGAGCUCGUCCCUCAGGGAAGCGCGUCGGCCAGGCGAGCGGCGGGGCUCCCCCCGGGGCGACUGACGGUUCGCACGCGCCGGCGAGUGGCGGGACUCGCGGGGAGGAGGGGAGCGAUAGGACUCCCUGGUCGAUAGUUGCCGGCGUAGAUCGGCUUCGCGCUAGAGGCCCUCGAGGGAGGAGCGGGGAGGAGCGGGGAGGAUCGUAGAGGUCCUCCUGGUAACUCUUGGGGCGGCGGACCGCGUCACCCCACACACGGGUCAUGGCCGGGAGGGGCGACAGAGGGGGCGGCGGGGGGGAGGGGGGCAGAGCGGCACGACGGCUUAGGGGCAGCGCUAGGUUAUCUGAAAAGGGAGAGGAGGGGACUGGGGCGGGGUGAACAGUGGCUGGAUCGGGAACCCUUCAGGGGCCAAAUCGAGCGGCCAAUUGGGCCCGCAGCCAUGUUGGACCGCAGCAGCCCAACUGCCCAGCGACCCACCGCGAGCCCCAUGGGCAGGCCAAAAGGGGCACCAGGCCCAACGCGGGUCGGCCCAAGUCCACCACCCAGGCAGGCGGGUAGCAAGGGUUUCCUUGAGCGCCGCCGGCGAUGGGGAUGGAUGGGAAGGAGCAGGCCUGGCCGGACGGUGGGGAGUAUUCGAGGGCCGGGGACGGGAGGAACCGAAGGAGGCGAUGAAAGGGCGGAAUGGGAAGCGGCACGAGAGCACCAAAGCCAGCGCGGGCCACACCAGUGGCGGAGCCCAGAGGGAGCCAGGGGAAGCGAGGGUCGGAGCCCGCCACGAGAUGCGCGCAGCGCCACGGUCAGCACGGCCCACAACUCCCAUCUGGUGGAGCGGCAACGACGGCGGCGUCCCCCCGACCUCAAGGCGGCGCCUUGUCUCCCGGCAUCCGAGGAGCACUCAGCGGCCGGUGUCGGGGCUGGGCAGCCACGUGGGUAGUCGAACUCCCACCCUUGGGAGUAAGGCCGUCGGCGCCGGCCGACCGCGGCACGCGAGUAGGAGCACGGGGACCCAGUCACAGCAGACCAUCGGACGCCUGGCUUCGAGGUCAUCCGCCUCGGCGAUGUCGGCCGACACCACCCGCACAGGGCCCAGGGAGGACGGAGCAUGCAGCAGGGAGGGGGGCGGGGAGGCCGCGGAGGGGGAUGAGGCGGACGAAGCCGCCGGUGGUGGGGGGGUUGCAGGGGUGGCUGGGAGGCCACCGCGUCGAGCGCGUCGCACAGGGCGCCAGAGCCGCAAGCCAUCCACUUUCCUUUCGCCAAGAUGCUAAUUUUUCAUCGAAUAGUGUCUUCAUAGCACAUUUUCCCUGUAACCUUGCUGGUAAAUUUCAUGGGAACCUAUUGCGUACCAAUUUAGAACUGUCAAUAUGACCCUAAUUUAAAGAAUCACUGCAUGUAAAAAAUACAAUGAAAGUGCAGAAACUUUGAAAAUGGCAGAAUGAACAGAAUACCAACCUCCGAGAAAACUCUAUCCACAGUCCAAUAUGUUAACGCAUGGUUUCCAUACUUAAUACAGAUUUUUUUUAUCAAUAAAUAAAGUGUGGCCCUAUCUAUAGUUCUUAGAACCUACAGUAUAUCUCAUAGAAAAAUGAGAAAUGUUAUCUGUCUCACAAGUUGCAGAGGAAAUAAUUUUUUCGUACAAAGAAACAGAAGCAUAGUGAAUCAAGCAGAUUCCACGCUUCAGCUCCAUCAAAUAGAGAAGGCUGCUUCCAAUUCGAUGCCACUGAUAUUAUGUAUAGCAUGCUUCACUUACAUGCAAGAACGCAAGUACAGCAGAAUCUCUAUGAUAUCUAAUAAAAUGAAAUUGCAACAUACGCAUAUAUUCAUUAUAGUUAGUUUACUACUAACCACUACAACAGAGGGAAAAUGUCAAUAGCUAAACCCAAAAGGAAACAACAAAAAUGAAUAACCCAAUUGGCACGCAACUGGGCAACAUGGGUAGAUCCUUAUCUAGCUUGUGCAUCAUCUGCCAAAGGAAGCUAAAAUAGAUAAAUAAUGGGUUGACAGACCUAAAAGGAAACCUAAAAUAUCUCUAUUUCAUAAGUGGCAAGAUUCUUGAUACAGAGGACCCAUGGCGACAACCAUAGGUCAACCGGAAGAGCGAGGUCAGGAGUGAAAACUACACAUUUAUCUCAUUGUCUAUAUAAGGUACCGUUUUGCCUAGCCUCAAUUUGAACUCCACCCAAAAAAAUCUUAAGCACCUAAAAAUAUUCAUCUCCUAUGGGUUAUACAACAAACAUGUAGAAAAAACGUUGGCAUAUUUAUGCAUCCACGAAAUUAUUGAUCUUCCAGUGAAAGUGAUAAUGGAUAAUAGUAACAAGAUGACAUUAGCAGCAUAGGUCAAUUACUGAAAUGCCAAAGCCAAAUAGCUUUUGAGGUUUCUCGCACAAUACACCUUUUAGGUCUAUAAAUUGUGAAGUGGUUUUAAAAUAUUAUCAGAGAGAAGCCUGGCAUGGCAGAGAAGGCUACAGAUAAUCAAGAACCUGUGAACUGAUAGUUAAUUCAUAAUAAAGUGUUCCACAUGAACUUUAGACAGCAAAAUUUAGUUUUUGAAAAUAAGAAGCAAUUUGACCUUUACUAGGCUAAACAUAAAAGAAAGAACGUGAUAGUAUUUAAAUGGCGAUUGAGAUGGUAAGCUACAUACGGUUUUUGAUAGCUCGAUGUCCAUCUCCAUGGUACGCAAGCAUGGAGGAAUUAUUUCAGUUUGCAGCAGAAAGCCGAUAACUUCAAUAUCACCAACCUCCAUGCAUAAUAAGAAGGUCAAAAGGCUUCUUCCAAAAGCAAGAAGAAAACAUUUGGUAUUUGGAAACACAUGCAGCUUAUUCCGAAAGCAAGAAGAAAAGAUUUGAUAGAAAAAUAUUUGUUUAUAAGGCAACAGUAGUUCAACCAACAUCCAACCACAUAGUAUGCAAUAGAAAGAUGAUUGUCAACGGAAGGCAGGUUAAGCACAACUAUAUUUGAUGGACCGAAAGGCACACACGAACAGUGAAACUAAGAAGUUGGUUGUUAAUGUAUGAUGCAGGACCUUGUGAGUAUUGUUCAUAUAUAACCCUAUUCGAUUAUUCCAUUUGAUUUGAUGAUAAGAAGUGCACAUCAAGUCGUCUCUUUCUUUUCUCACAAAGCAAUUGACACCAGGAUAAUCUUCAGUAAGGAGAGCACACAACAAUCAAUGUUUUUUGUUGGGCUUCACUGCAACUAGAAGCAAAAUUCGUGCUUUGUCGCGGCCAAUCCAUUAUUGCGACAAAGAAAACAGAGAUUUAUUUCUUCUGGUUCUUCUUAGCAAAGAAGGGACUACAAAUAAUUCGGCCCAUUAGCGACAAAAACAAGAAACACAACCUGGCCACAAAAUAUGAAGAGUCAACAUCUUACAAUGACAUCAUAAAGAUGAACUAAAAUAUAGGCACAAGAAAAGUAGCCGGCAUAAGAGGGCGAACACAAAUAGAAUGGAAGUGAGGGAAAAGAAAAAUAGAAAAGAGAACCAAGGAUUCAAGCGAUGGAAACUAUGUGACAUAAUAGACAUAUACAUGCAGUGUCAGUAAUUAAAGUUGAACAACCAUGAGACUCAAUGGAGUAGUAAAUCGGAUAGGCCUUAACAUUGGGAUGCAGUUUACUUCAAGAUGACUGUAGAAUAAGAAAGCAAUGCUCUGUUCUCUCAAACUUUGUGGUAUAAAUGUCUUCAUUAAAAGUACUCUUAAUUCCAAACAGAGUUACAUUUGUUUCAAACUGGCCCGAGCUCCUUCAAUAUUAUGGAUUAAUUAUUAGUCAAUAGCAUACUAAGUGAACACAUGAAUGCAGUCAGAAUUGUUGGUUUCACAAUAACAGAAUGAACUCACAUAUUAUAAAUAAUAUAUAAUUCCUAUAUCCACUUAUCCAUUGCUUGGCUCAAUAGUUCCUAGCAUAUUUAGGUACUUAUGAAACCACAAGUAUGUGUUCCUGGGCUGUCAAGUAAACAUGGUUGCUUAUUUCAGAAUUCCAUCAUAGCCACAUAAGAUGACACAAUGUUGCAACAAUCUCAAAGCUAAAACAAAACAUAGAUCAAGUACCUAGCUAUCACCAUAUUAUCCCUAAAUUCACAUCAAGAACAACCCGAAAGGCAAGACACUUUCAACAUACACCAGAUGGUUUAAGAAUUUUCCAUGAAUCAUCUUGUCGAUGUAGUGGCUUUAGCGAAAGAGCUCUGCCAAUGGGUUGUAGACCACAUAUGUUACAGAAGUGGAUCAGAAGCAUGUCAAUUUGGCAAUAUGUCACCUACACAACAUGAACAGAUGACAAUGAGACACUUGGCACCAAAAUUAGACAAAUGAAUAGCUAGAAUGUGCCUCUUCUAUAAUUGUUGCAAUCCACAGACUAUGCUAAAUGGAAAUAGUUGAAAUGUCUGUUGUUGUAAUUGUUGGCACAAAAAUUGGGCAAAAGUAUCACUACUCAUUGUAUAACUCUCUUUCUUAUUUUUUUUUACUUACUAUGGUAUGAUUUUCUUCAAGUGAAUAAUAUGGGCAAAGCAAUAUACAGAUAAAUAAUAGCUGACAGGUAUAUCAUAAGUGUACUACUCCCUCCGAUCCAAAAUAUGUGUCACAGUUUUGAACUAAGUUUAAUUCAACCUUAGUUCAACAUAUUAUGGAUCGGAGGGAGUAUCAUUUACCGCUCAUUAUGGAGAUUAAGUUGCAACAAAAGAAAAAAUGAAAUAAAGUAUUGUUGAGAAAAAAUAGAUCUAGUGAAAAAACAAAAAAACAUAAGUAACACUAAGGUGGCUUCCAUAGAACAAGGAAAACAGAGAAUUUACCAUUUAUGGCCAAAGAGGAAAAGCUAAGGGUAAGGGGGAGCACAUGCAACUGGAACACUGAUGGGAAGAAACAAUUGAUACAUUAUUGUUGCCUAUUGGCAAAGAAAUAAUGGGGCAACAACAUCCGAUCCCGCCAGAGCCACACCUGUGAAACACAACAAAGAGGAAGACUAUCGAAAUAUGUCCUUUAAAAGUGUUUCUUGGCCUAAGUGCAUCAUGUACAUGCUAUAAAAUCUGUUCUUAGUGUUUCCUUGUAUAAGAUAAAGGUGUGACCAUCAGUCUGGACGCUAAAAGAAGAGCAGUAGUUUGAAAGUAUGAGAGAAAUAUUGGUGCUUUUUGUUGGGUAUUAUUAUUUCUGGUAGGUACUAAUAACCACAUUUAGUUUAACAAAAAAUUAGGCAGCCCAAAAAUGGUGUAGACACGGAAAGAUAAAUUCGAGAGCAAGAAGGUUGACAAUGUUUAGCAUUUUUUUGUAAAUGAGGAAAACAUAAGUAUUUCUGCUUACCAAUUAAAUGUCCACAACAACACUUUCUAUCUGUUCAUACAAUUUCUAAUUUAUUUUCUUACUCCCGGGAAAUUUCUUGGCAAUAUACAUUAUUAGAGGGAUAAAAACUGCAUUAAUAACCUAUUCACUACAUGCUUGCUGCUGGCACAAAUUACACUAAUAGAAUAAAGAGCCUAACCAUAUAACAGGAUUAGGCCUAACAAAAAAAAGGACGGGCUGAUGAUUGGGAAAAAGCUGCACAAAAUCAUGAUCACAUAUACAUAUGAGAUAUGAGAGUACACAUACUAACCUUAACCUAAUUAGUGGCCAUCACAAACUAUGAGCUUUAGGAUUCCCCAAACCAACACACCAGAACAAAUAUUCAAUCUUUGGACUGACAUCAUCUGAACCAAAUUAGGAGGAAAAAUCCAUCACCAAAAUAGUCUGAAUCUAGUGGUAGAUUGAGGAUUGGGGGUAGCAUCAAUAUGGAGUCCUAUUGGGUGGAGCCCCAGCACCCAACGUCCUCCCCGACAACAAUGACAACAACAGGAAGAUAACUAAGAGAGAUGAAGCAAACAAGAAUAGAGAAGAAGCACAACAGAACGGAGAAGCGGCGGUGCAGCCGCCGUACUCAUCAGUGGCGUCCAUAUCCCUACUCGGGCUCCUCCUGCUCCACGCAUAGUCGUCACCGCAGCAGGAUUGAGGAGCUCUUCCCACGCGCUUUCACCCCACAGCGCAACCAUGAAGAGUUGGCAAAGCGAAGAUGGUGGUCAUUCCAGCCAUAGCGAGGCUGGGUACCAUCGGAUUUAUGCCUGGGGACGGUGUGGAGGCGUUGAAUCAAUCAUGGUAAGAACUUAGCAGUACCUUUGAACUUUCUCGUCAAUCCAAAACAACUUCUAUCUACAACAAACCGAAGGUGACAGAGAGCGAUGUGGGAGCUAAAAUACAUGAGCAUGAACAAAAAGUAUCAAUGCAUUAGCAAGUGCAAGAAGUGAAAUUUCACAUUAAUAUAUACGCAGCUCACUAUGCUUGGAAGAAAUCUGCAACAAAUCGAAGGAGACAGAGAGAGAUGUGGGAGCUACAAUACAUGAGCAUGAACAAAAAAUAUGCAUUAGCAAGUUCAAGAAGUGAAAUUUCACAUUAAUAUAUAAGCAACUCACUAUGCUUGGAAGAAAUCUGCAACGAGGGAGAGAGAUGUGGGAGCUAUAAUACAUGAGCAUGAACAAGAAUAUAUCAAUGCUUUAGCAACUGGAAAAGUGAAAAUUGACAUCGAUAUAUAAGAAGCAACAUUAUAUCUAUUAUCUAUUAUGUAUAAGCAGGAGCAGUAGCAUGCACACACAACCCGAAACCGCAUCAUCUCAAAUAGCUACAGAACUAAUUAGGCAGAACAAAAGAGAGUCUGUGUAGUCUCCACCCACGGUACCAGCACUACACAGAUUGUGUGUUCCCUCUGCUAGCACUCCUACUACCACUGCAUGUCUUCCUAGUCUUGCUGCUCGCAGGAGGACCAGGAAGGGUCAAGUGGAGUGGUGCAGCAAGACGACGCUGCCAAGAACACCAUGUGGUGCACGAGGCAUUAUGCUAGUCAUGGUAGAGCACGUGGAGUAACCAGUGUCAUUUGUGAACAAAACCAUGAUUAUGAAACAUGAUGAUAAGCACCUACAACUAAAUCGACAUUCUUACGAUAGCAAUACCUUCAAAAGGUUACCAGGAAGAGAAGUUACGAAAAACACCCUGACAAAUUGAACUUAGUUUCAUUCAAAUGGUCUUUACGUUUUUUUGACAUGGCCUGUAAGAGCUACAAAAUGUCUAAGAAAAAUAAAACAUUUCAUGAGUAUUGUACAGUCUACAUCCCGCUUACAUGGAUUUAAAAAGAUACAAAAACUUGCAGUUUAGAAUGACAUCAUGCCUCAAUUGAUAAAUAAUAAUACAACAAUCAGAAUAUAUAAAAAAUUGACUGCUCAAUUACUUUGGAUGACCCAAACCCUUAAAGAUUAUGGGAUAUAUGUGAAACAUGUUCCAUGGCUAUGUGACAAUGAAAGUGCUAUUAAAAUUGCUCACAAUCCCGUGCAACACUCUUGAACUAAGCAUAUUGAAGUUCAUCAUCAUUUCAUUUGAGAUCAUGUUGCCAAAGGGGACAUUAACCUUAAGCAUGUUCGCACCGAUAAGCCAUUGGCGGAUAUAUUCACUAAACCACUUGAUUUGAAAGUGUUUUGCAGGUUAAGAGGUGAAUUGAACAUCAUUGAUGCUUCAAACUUGGAGUAGGAACUCCAUUUGAUACAUGCGAGGCAUGAGCCUAUGACUAAUCCUUGAUAUUUUUCUGAUGAUGAUUCUCAUAUGUCUUGGAUAUAUUUGUACCUUGCAUGUUAUCUAACCCGUGUAGGUACUUGGUUGAAUCUAAAUCUAUGAGAUUGCAACUCACUCACAUCUUGAGCAAUCUCUACAUCACCAAGACUCUAUACAAUGGUGGUUGAAGACAAGGAAGCAUGAAACCAUUCAAACAUAUCCUUUGACAAAUUCUAUGCUGAGUCUCAUGCUAGUCAUUUUGGAUACACAAGUGCUCUUCCUUGCAAGACUAACCCAUGUAGGUAGAUGAACUCAAACUCCAAGUGGUGCUCCCAACUACAUCAACCUUGAGCAACCCAUACAAGUUCAACUACAUGAGCAAGAUCAACACCACCACCCAAGGUAUGUUAUUCCAUCUUAGAGAAGCUUUACUCCAAGUCAUGAGUCAAAACAACUCAACAAGAUGUGAAUACAUCAAGAUUCUUAAACGAAAAAUGGUAACCCCAUUUUGAGCUUAAACGAUGAGUAUGACCUAUGAUCAAGUGCUCUCACUUGACUCCUAAGUCAAUAUACUCUAACAUAGGUGACUUUGUCACCGCCCAACUCUAGAUGAAGUUCUCUUGUGUUCUUUUUUGUGUUAUUGCAUUUGUCUUUUGCAUAUUUGUUUCCCCUUUCAAAAAAAUUCAUCUAGAUCUUUUCUUGUCUUUUCUUUUCGUUCUGCAUUUUCUGCAUCCAAUUCAUUGCAAAUCUUUCAGUUAAUUCCUUGCAAAUCCUUGUGAGAUCUUACAUGUCUAGUGAGCUGAGGUGACAAGUGGUUUCACUCUGAUGAACUCGGUCACACCGGUUUGUUCUCUUCGGUCUAACCGAAAUCUUUCGGUGAAACCGGAGCUCACAACUCGGAACCACCGAUUUCAUCACAGGAAAACUAACUUGCCACUUAUUCCUGACUUCUAUUUUGCUCCAGCUCCACUCAAUGAUUCUUGUCCUCUACCAGCAUCAUGUUAUACACGCUGCUUUGCUCUGUGACUCAAGGACCAAACCAUUUGUAUCACAUGUUCAGAAGACCCUUCUUGGAAAUUAAUGUCAAAGGGGGAGAGAGAGAUCACAUCAAAGCUUAAUCCGUCCUAUAGGGGGAGAAAGAGAGAAAGAGAGAAUACUCAGGGGGAGAGAAACUAAUAUCAUCAAUGACCCCAGAUGCUUGGUGUUCAAGAGGAGAGAUGUCACAUGUCUUUAAGAGGGGAAAGACAUGUUUGUUUAUUUUCUAUUGCUCUGAUUUGCUCUGAUUUUCUGUUCCCUAUCUUCUCCCAAUAUCUCAUGUUAGAUUCAGGGGGAGCAAGACAUCUAAGGGAAGGAAAUCUCUGAUUUUAUUGCACAUCUUUAUCUUUGGGGACAUGUCUAUAUCAAAUGUGGUACCUAGUACACACUCUACAUGUCAUCCCAGUCUUGGUUCUCUUGUGGUUUCUCUUGUUUGCUCUAGUUAGUAGGUGUAUUAGUGUUAUCUAACCUUGUUUGCGCAGGUUCAUCCCACCCUAAGCCAAAUCAAGACCACAAGGUAAGUAUAUGCAUCACAGUCAUGUGAAUGAGGAGUUCUUGCUAAUGUACAUACUGUUUGCAAGAAGGACUCAUGAGCAUGAAGGUACAUUUCUCAUAUUCAUAUCAUUUGCUCUGAUGCAUAUAGCCAAGAUACAUGUAACACAUUGCUUACUCUGUCAUGCUUAUGCAUUCACAUGCUCCUAUAUUUCAUAUUCACAUGAUUGCAUACAUGUAGGGGGAGCCUUUGCAUAUUACAUGUCUUUCCAAAGCUUUACUUGCUAUUCUCUAUAUCUUUAACUAAAGCUUUGAUGUAUGUUGUCAUCAAUUACCAAAAAGGGGGAGAUUGAAAGCACAAGUGCUCCCUGGGUGGUUUUGGUAAUUAAUGUCAACAUAUCUCUUGUUGGACUAAAACUUUUACCUAGUAUGUUUCAGAUAAGUUCAACAAUGGAGUGGCAUGGACUAGAGGAUGUGGAACCCCUUCAAGAUGCUAAGGACAAAGGAUUGGCUCAAGCUUCAAGAUCAAGACUCUACAUUUUAUAUUUUAGUGAUCCAAGAUCACAUUGAGUCUAUAGGAAAAGCCAAUACUAUCAAGGAGGGAUGAGGUGUUGUUUAAUGAGCCUCUUGCUUCAUGUGCUUAGUGAUAUGCUCCAAAACCCUCAACUAUCUUCCCACAUCCACAUAUGACCUAAACCAAAAGUCAAACUCGGCCCCACCGAUUCUUUCUAUCCGGCGCCACUGAGUUUCAUGUGUCAUAGCCACUGCCAAACCCUAGCAAAUCGGUUUCACCGAUAGGGAUCUCGGUCUCACCGAGAUGGGAUUGUAAUCACACUGUGUAUGUUCAUUGCCAAAAUCGGUCCCACCGAGUUUGAGCAAUCGGUACUACGGAGAUUACAAUGCAAACUCCCUGGUUAGCUUAUUACCAAAAUCGGUCCCACCGAGUUUGUGUAAUCGGUCUUACCAAGUUUGCCUAACCAACUCUCUGGUUAGCUUAUUACCAAAAUCGGUCCCACCGAGUUUGUGUAAUCGGUCACACCGAGAUUACGUUAUGCCCAAACCCUAACAAUAUCGGUCCUACCGAGUUGCAUCUCAGUCCCACCGAAAAUCCUAACGGUCACUAGGUUUGCUGAAUCGGUCCGACCGAGUUUAACCAUUCGGUCCCACCGAGUUUGGCAGAUUGUGUGUAACGGUUAGAUUUUGUGUGGAGGCUAUAUAUACCCCUCCACCCACUCUUCAUUCGUGGAGAGAGCCAUCAGAACAGAUCUUCACUUCCAAUACACAUUUUCUAAGAGAGAACCACCUACACUUGUGUUGAGCUCAAGAUAUUCCAUUCCUACCAUAUGAAUCUUGAUCUCUAGCCUUCCACAAGUUGCUUUCCACUCAAAUCUUCUUUCCACCAAAUCCAAAUCCUGUGAGAGAAAGUUGAGUGUUGGGGAGACUAUCAUUUGAAGCACAAGAGCAAGGAGUUCAUCAUCAACACACCAUUUGUUACUUCUUGGAGAGUGGUGUCUCCUAGAUUGGCUAGGUGUCACUUGGGAGCCUCCGACAAGAUUGUGGAGUUGAACCAAGGAGUUUGUAAGGGCAAGGAGAUCGCCUACUUUGUGAAGAUCUACCGCUAGUGAGGCAAGUCCUUCGUGGGCGACGGCCAUGAUGGAAUAGACAAGGUUGCUUCUUCAUGGACCCUUCAUGGGUGGAGCCCUCCGUGGACUCGUGCAACCGUUACCCUCCGUGGGUUGAAGUCUCCAUCAACGUGGAUGUAUGAUAGCACCAACUAUUGGAACCACGACAAAAACAUCCAUGUCUCCAAUUGCGUUUGAAUACUCCAAACCCUUCCCUUUACAUUCUUGCAAGUUGCAUGCUUUACUUUCCGCUGCUCAUAUACUCAUUGCAUGCUUGCUAGAUAUGUAUUGUGUGUGUUAAAAUUGUGCUUAAACUCCACCUAAACUUAAGAAUAUUAAAAACUGCAACUUUUGGCACUUAGUGUCUAAUCACCCCCCUCUAGACACCUCUUCUCGAUCCUUUCACCGGUAUAUGCCCGAACUCACACGGAACCGUUCCAAUGUCCAAACAUAGUCAUCCAAUAUAUGAUCUUUAUGUCUCGACCAAUUCGAGACUCCUCGUCAUGUCCGUGAUCAUAUCCGGGACUCCGAACAACCUUCGGUAUAUGAUGAGGACAUCAAUAACAUUGUUACACCCACAGCCCCUACUGUUACAUAUACUGGACCAAUUACUAGAGCUCGCGCACGCCAAUUAAAUUACCAGGUACUUUCGUUUCUUGGUAAUGAUUCUAAUGUUCAUGAGAUUAUGAUGCUGCCUAAAUUGGAUACAUUUGUUUUGCUUACAAAUGAAGGGCCUAGCUUGGAGAAGGAUGAACAUUGGAGCAAGAACACGCAUGGAGUUGAUGGCAUGCGCAAGGGGAUCAAGAACGGAGUUACAAGUGAUGAUUUCAGGACUUUGAAGCCGCCAUAAAUAGUGCAUGAAGCCUUGGACGAAAUAUACAAGAUGCCACUUCAUAAUAUUCGUCCAUAGGCUAUUCUAGGUGCUGCGUCACCUUAUUAAUGGGCCAGACCCAUGUAAUUUCGAAAUACUUAAGUAUAGGCUAUUUUUAGAGUCCGUAUGUGUGGGGAAACAAGAGUUAGGGUUGGUUUCGGACCCCACCCUCAAGGGCCACGAAAUUCCCCCCUCUUCCUCCAUAUAUACAGCCCUUAGGGCGUCGUUUAGACUUUGGGUUUUGUUUAGAUUAAAAGUUCGCCAUAGCUGCAACUUCGCGUACUUCGUUUGUGUCCAACGACCAGACCAAGACGUCACAGAACCCCACCUUGAUCAAUAAAGCUUUCAUCUUAUAUUCGCAAUAUCCCGAUUGCAAUCUCAGUUUCUUGCUUGUUCUUCGUUUGCUCGCAGGAAACAGACCUUCGUGGUCAGGUUGAUCGUGCUCCGGCGUGGUCAAUAACCCUCGGAAGUUGGUUUAGCGAUUGCUAAGGCGCGACGUCUCGCACGUUCGUAGUCGGAUCGUCAAGGUCGACUCCCACAGAAAACGAUAGCCACCAUCUCAUCGAAACAUCGGGACACCUUAGCCUCUAUCAAGUGGUAUCAGAUUUCCAGGUUGCUCGGUGAGAUUUUACAGUUUUUCAUAGAUUAGAUCGAGUCUGUUCUUCAUACCUACAGUCCACGAAAAAGCCAGAAAAAAAUUAGGGUUAGUUCAUCAUAUCCGAACCAAUCUGAGCCUUUGCAUAAUCUUUUUAGGGUUUUUGCUUUGUUGAAUUUGCGGUUGCAUCGUCAUGUCAAGUUGCUAGUCUUAGAGUCUAGUCUUUUAGAGUUUCGAGUUCUGGUCAUAAGUUGUCACGCCGCCACCGCACCAUCAUCAUCGCCCAUCUACCACUUUUGCUUAUCCGCCACCGCUCUGAAUCCAUAUCCAUAUACCACCACCAAUCCGUAUCCAUAUACCACCACCAAUCUGUAUCCAUAUACCACCACCGCUACCAUAUACCACCACCGCUGCGAUAUACCACAACCAUAUAUCCACCACCAAUCCGAGUUCGUCUCAUAUUAGGUUUGUUCUUGAGAUCAAUCUAAAUUCCGUUUCGUGUUUCCUUGCCUGCGUAGGUCUCGGAAAAAAAAGUCUGGAGACCCCCGGGCAGUUUUUAGGCCAAAAAUUUCAUGGGCAAUUUUUUUCCCUAUCCUAUUUUUAGGCUUUUCUAAGUCUUUUGAGCCACGUGCCAUCAUAGUGAUUUUUUGUCGCACUUUUUCGUCGUCGCUGCCGUGAUUUCCGAAAAAAGUGAAAAAAAAAUUCAUGCCCAUCCUAUCACUUUGACGAGGGAAGAGUUUUGAGACACUCGCCAUUAUAGUGAUUUUUCGCAAAAAAAAAGAGGAGCGCAAAAAAAAGGAGCGAAAAAGAAAGAGCGAAAAAAAAGAGUUCCAGAGUGUGCUUUUCCCUUAUUUACGUGCAGCACCGUGAUUUUGUUAGUGUUCUAGGCUCGCGUCUCUAGCACGGUCUAGUCUAGGACCAGCACAGUACCGUCGUUGAGCGUUUAUUCAACUUUGCAUCUCUGAAAUGAUUAUUGCUGACCCUUUUUGCUACCAUACUAUAAGCCUUUGAGAGUUUUGAGAGUUUUGACUCUCCCUGGCAAUCGCUGUAUCCAAGCUUUUGAGAGUUUUGACUACAACGGUUGCCGAUCACCGCCUGCUGCUGGGUAAGAACUGGUACGAAUUUGAGAUUUGCUUGACGGAUUUGUGACACCCGCCACCACCACCACUUGUUAGUAGUCUGUAGGAUCAUAUUCUUGUGUGUUUCUAUUGCUGCUAACCAUGCCAGGAUCACAAGCCGACGAGACUGACUGGGAGAACUUGACGAACAAGGAGCUUCAUGAUACGUUUCAGCAAAUGAUGAGUGGACAGGUGCACGAUGUGAUAAACAGAUUUGAAGAGGCCAUGGAGAAGAUAGAUGGCAUGGAGAAGACGUUUGAAACAAAGCUCGAUAACAAGUUUGCUGAAUUGCUUUCGUGUUUUCCACCACCACCACCGGCUGCUCCUGCCGCACCUCUGCAACAACAGCAACAACAUCGACUACCUCCACGUCGGGAAACAGCCCUCCGCCGAGCGAGCCGUGUCCCUCUUCAGUCGGGCCAAACUGCUGGUGCUGCUGUUGAUACUUCUGUGGCUCCUACUGCUGAUGUGGAGGAGGAUGAUUCUGUGGGAGAUUAUGAGGAUGAGGUUGAUCACAAUCAGAACUACGUGCCACCACUAGCACAACAACCACCAGGUCGUCCACAUGCAAAUAAUGGCAAUGGUAGGGCUCACCCUCAGGUACGAGAUCAUGACCAUCUCCCUAAACUAAAAUUGAAUAUUCCACCAUUUGAGGGUAGAUAUGUUCCUGAUAUAUAUCUUACUUGGGAGUUAGAAAUUGAACAACGAUUUACAUGUUUACAAUAUCCCGAGGAGAGACGUGUUCCUGCUGCUGUUUGUGCAUUCACUAGUUUUGCAUGUGUUUGGUGGUCUGAGCAUUGUAGAUUAUAUCCUAUUCCGGCUACUUGGGCUGCUUUGAAAACUGCUAUGCGUACUCGUUGGGUUCCACCAUAUUAUCAACGUGAAUUACUUCAAAAAUUGGAGCGCUUAAGACAUGGGAAAAAUUCUGUAGAAGAAUAUUAUCAGGAAUUACAAACUGGCAUGAUUAGAUGUGGUAUUGUUGAGGAGAAUGAAGCUAUGCUUGCACGUUUUAUGGGUGGAUUAAAUAGAGAGAUUCAGACGAUUCUAGAGUAUAAGGAGUAUACUAAUAUCACUCGUUUAUUCCAUCUUGCUUGUAAAGCUGAACGUGAAGUGCAGGAUCGACAGGCAUUGGCGCGGACUAACUUUUGUGCAGGUCGACCUUCAUCAUGGACACCACGUGCAUCAUCUACUUCCACACAUUCUGCUACACCGGCUCCUCCGUCGGCUGCCACCUCCAACUGUGAUACAAUAAAGCAGGCACAAUCACCACUAUCUGCCAAGAGCACACCUUCUGGGCAUGCAAAGAGCUCUUCUUCAUCCAUGGCAUCAACAGGGCAAACACAUGAUAUUAUUUGUCGACGUUGCAAGGGUGGAGGUCAUUAUGCAAGAGAAUGCCCAUCUAAGCGUGUGAUGAUUGUUACUGAGGAUGGUGGGUAUGAGUCCGCUAGUGACUAUGAUGAGGAGACCUUGGCUCUUAUUACACGUGAAGAACAUGGUGGAGACGAUUCUGAUCAUGAGACGCAAUACAUGGCUCCUGAAGAUGCUGACAGGUAUGAAUGUUUAGUUGCUCAACGUGUUUUGAGUGUGCAGGUUACACAAGCUGAGCAAAAUCAGAGGCAUAAUUUGUUCCAUACAAAGGGAGUUGUGAAGGAACGUUCUGUUCGCGUGAUCAUAGAUGGAGGGAGCUGCAAUAACUUGGCUAGCAUGGAGAUGGUGGAGAAGCUAUCUCUCACCACAAGACCACAUCCACAUCCUUACUACAUCCAAUGGUUCAGCAACAGCGGCAAGGUUAAGGUAACACGUACUGUUCGUGUGCAUUUUAGUAUCUCUACAUAUGCUGAUUAUGUUGAUUGUGAUGUGGUACCUAUGCAAGCAUGUUCCUUAUUACUUGGUAGACCAUGGCAAUUUGAUAAAAAUUCUGUACACCAUGGUAGAAACAAUCAGUAUACUCUUGUUCAUAAUGAUAAGAAUAUUACUUUGCUUCCUAUGACUCCUGAUUCCAUUUUGAAAGAUGAUAUUAAUAGAGCUAAUAAAGCAAAACAGGAGACAAAUAAGAGUGAAAAUCAGAUUGUGGCAAAAGAAUUUGAGCACCAAAUGAAGCCUAAUAAUAAACCAUCUACUGUUGUUUCUGAAAUUAAAUUGAAAAGUGCAUGUUUACUUGCCACCAAAUCUGAUAUUGAUGAGCUAGAUUUUAGCAAAUCUGUUUGCUAUGCUUUUGUGUGCAAAGAGGCAUUAUUUUCAUUCGAGGACGUGCCUUCCUCUUUACCCCCUGCUGUCACUAACAUUUUGCAGGAGUUCGCUGACGUCUUUCCACAAGACGUGCCACCGGGAUUACCACCUAUUCGAGGGAUUGAGCAUCAAAUUGACUUAAUUCCCGGUGCUUCGCUACCCAACCGUGCACCAUACCGUACCAAUCCAGAGGAGACGAAGGAGAUUAUGCGUCAAGUACAAGAACUGCUCGACAAAGGUUAUAUACGCGAAUCCCUUAGUCCUUGUGAUGUUCCUAUCAUUUUAGUGCCGAAAAAGGAUGGCACAUCACGUAUGUGCGUUGAUUGUAGAGGCAUUAAUAAUAUUACUAUUCGUUAUCGUCAUCCUAUUCCUAGGCUAGAUGAUAUGCUUGAUGAAUUGAGUGGCUCUACAAUAUUCUCCAAAGUUGAUUUGCGUAGUGGAUACCAUCAAAUUCGUAUGAAAUUGGGUGAUGAAUAGAAAACAACAUUUAAAACUAAGUUUGGAUUAUAUGAGUGGUUAGUCAUGCCUUUUGGGUUAACUAAUGCACCUAGUACUUUCAUGAGGUUAAUGAACGAAGUUUUACGUGCUUUCAUUGGACGAUUUGUGGUAGUUUACUUUGAUGACAUAUUGAUUUAUAGCAAAUCUUUGGAGGAACAUUUGGAACAUUUACGUGUUGUUUUUAUUGCUCUACGUGAUGCACGUUUGUUUGGAAACCUUGGAAAGUGCACCUUUUGCACCGACCGAGUAUCUUUUCUUGGCUAUGUUGUUACUCCACAGGGAAUUGAAGUUGAUAAAGCCAAAAUUGAAGCUAUUGAGAGUUGGCCGCAGCCCAAAACGGUCACACAAGUGAGGAGUUUCCUUGGCCUCGCUGGUUUCUAUAGGCGUUUUGUGAGAGAUUUCGGCACCAUUGCUGCACCUCUCAACGAGCUUACAAAGAAGGAUGUGCCUUUUGUUUGAGGUACUGCACAGGAAGAAGCUUUCACGGUAUUUAAAUAUAAGUUGACACAUGCUCCUUUACUCCAACUUCCUAAUUUCAAUAAGACUUUUGAGCUUGAAUGUCAUGCUAGUUGAAUUGCAUUAGGAGGUGUGUUAUUACAAGAUGGAAAACCUGUUGCAUACUUUUCUGAAAAAUUGAGUGGGCCUAGUCUGAACUAUUCUACUUAUGAUAAAGAAUUAUAUGCUCUUGUUCGGACCUUAGAAACAUGGCAACAUUAUUUAUGGCCCAAGGAAUUUGUUAUACAUUCUGAUCAUGAAUCUUUGGAACACAUUAAAAGUCAAGCAAAACUGAACCGUAGACAUGCUAAAUGGGUUGAAUUCAUUGAGACUUUCCCUUAUGUCAUUAAACACAAGAAGGGUAAAGAAAAUGUUAUUGCUGAUGCCUUGUCUCGUCGUUAUACUAUGCUUUCACAACUUGACUUUAAAAUAUUUGGUUUGGAGACCAUCAAAGAUCAAUAUGUUCAUGAUGCUGAAUUUAAAGAUAUAUUGCAGAAUUGUAAGGAAGGGAGAACUUGGAACAAGUUCGUUCUUAAUGAUGGAUUUGUGUUUCAUGCUAACAAGCUAUGCAUUCCAGCUAGCUCCGUUCGUCUUUUGUUGUUGCAGGAGGCGCAUGGAGGAGGAUAAAUGGGACACUUUGGCGUCAAGAAGACGGAGGAUAUACUUGCUACACAUUUCUUUUGGCCAAAGAUGAGACGGGAUGUUGAGCAUUUUGUUGCUCGCUGCACUACAUGUCAAAGAGCUAAGUCACGACUCAAUCCUCAUGGUUUAUAUAUGCCUUUGCCCGUACCUAGUGUUCCUUGGGAGGAUAUAUCUAUGGACUUUGUUUUAGGUUUACCUCGAACAAAGAAGGGGAGGGAUAGCAUAUUUGUUGUCAUGGAUAGGUUCUCGAAAAUGGCACACUUUAUACCAUGUCAUAAAAGCGAUGAUGCUGUUAAUGUUGCUGAUUUGUUCUUUCGUGAAAUUAUUCGCUUACAUGGUGUGCCAAAUACUAUUGUUUCAGAUCGUGAUACUAAAUUUCUUAGCCACUUUUGGAGAUGUUUAUGGGCUAAGUUGGGGACUAAGCUGCUUUUUAGUACUACUUGUCACCCCAAACUGAUGGACAAACUGAAGUAGUCAAUAGAACAUUGUCUACUAUGCUUAGGGCUGUUUUGAAGAAUAACAAGAAAAUGUGGGAAGAAUGCUUGCCUCAUAUUGAAUUUGCUUAUAAUCGUUCAUUGCAUUCUACUACUAAGAUGUGCCCUUUUGAAAUUGUGUAUGGUUUCCUACCUCGUGCACCUAUUGAUUUGUUGCCUCUUCCAUCUUCAGAGAAGGUUAAUUUUGAUGCUAAAGAAUGUUCUGAAUUGAUUUUAAAAAUGCAUGAGUUAACUAAGGAAAGCAUUGAGCGUAUGAAUGCUAAAUAUAAACUUGCUGGAGAUAAGGGUAGAAAACAUGUUGAGUUUGCGCCUGGAGAUCUUUUUUGGUUACAUUUGCGUAAAGAUAGAUUUCCUAAUCUGCGCAAAUCAAAGCUAAUGCCACGUGUUGAUGGUCCUUUUAAGGUGGUAGAGAAAAUAAAUGAUAAUGCAUAUAAACUUGAGCUACCUGUAGAUUUUGGGGUUAGUCCCACUUUUAACAUUGCAGAUUUGAAGCCUUAUUUGGGUGAGGAAGAUGCGCUUCCAUCGAGGAUGACUUCAUUUCAAGAAGGGGAGGAUGAUGAGGACAUCAAUACCAUUGUUACACCCACAGCCCCUACUGUUACAUAUACUGGACCAAUUACUAGAGCUCGCGCACGCCAAUUAAAUUACCAGGUACUUUCGUUUCUUGGUAAUGAUUCUAAUGUUCAUGAGAUUAUGAUGCUGCCUAAAUUGGAUACAUUUGUUUUGCUUACAAAUGAAGGGCCUAUCUUGGAGAAGGAUGAACAUUGGAGCAAGAACACGCAUGGAGUUGAUGGCAUGCGCAAGGGGAUCAAGAACGGAGUUACAAGUGAUGAUUUCAGGACUUUGAAGCCACCAUAAGGAGUGCAUGAAGCCUUGGACGAAAUAUACAAGAUGCCACUUCAUAAUAUUCGUCCAUAGGCUAUUCUAGGUGCUGUGUCACCUUAUUAAUGGGCCAGGCCCAUGUAAUUUGAAAAUACUUAAGUAUAGGCUAUUUUUAGAGUCCGUAUGUGUGGGGAAACAAGAGUUAUGGUUGGUUUCGGACCCCACCCUCAAGGGCCACGAAAUUCCCCCCUCUUCCUCCAUAUAUACAGCCCUUAGGGCUUCGUUUAGACUUUGGGUUUUGUUUAGAUUAAAAGUUCGCCAUAGCUGCAAUUUCGUGUACUUCAUUUGUGCCCAACGACCAGACCAAGACGUCACAGAACCCCACCUUGAUCAAUAAAGCUUUCAUCUUAUAUUCGCAAUAUCCCGAUUGCAAUCUCAGUUUCUUGCUUGUUCUUCGUUUGCUCGCAGGAAACAGACCCUCGUGGUCAGGUUGAUCGUGCUCCGGCGUGGUCAAUAACCCUUGGAAGUUGGUUUAGUGAUUGCUAAGGCGCGACGUCUCGCACGUUCGUAGUCGUAUCUUCAAGGCCGACUCCCAUAGAAAACGAUAGCCACCAUCUCAUCGAAACAUCGGGACACCUUAGCCUCUAUCAGUAUAUCAAAACACAUAAACUCAUAAUACCGAUCAUCAUCGAAUCUUAAGCGUGUAGACCCUACGGGUUCGAGAACUAUGUAGACAUGACCGAGACUCAUCUCCGGUCAAUAACCAAUAGCGGAACCUGGAUGCUCAUAUUGGUCCCUACAUAUUCUACGAAGAUCUUUAUCGUUCAAACCGCAUAACAACAUAUGUUGUUCCCUUUGUCAUCGGUAUGUUACUUGCCCGAGAUUCGAUCGUCGAUAUCUCAAUACCUAGUUCAAUCUCGUUACCGGCAAGUCUCUUUACUCGUUCCGUAAUGCAUCAUCCCGUGACUAACUCAUUAGUCACAUUGCUUGCAAGGCUUAUAGUGAUGUGCAUUAUCGAGAUGGCCCAGAGAUACCUCUCUGAUACUCGGAGUGACAAAUCCUAAUCUCGAUCUAUGCCAACUCAACAAACACCAUCGGAGACACCUGUAGAGCAUCUUUAUAAUCACCCAGUUACGUUGUGACAUUCGAUAGCACACUAAGUGUUCCUCUGGUAUUCGGGAGUUGCAUAAUCUCAUAGUCAUAGGAACAUGUAUAAGUUAUGAAGAAAGCAAUAGCAACAAACUAAACGAUCAUCGUGCUAAGCUAACAGAUGGGUCAAGUCAAUCACAUCAUUCUCUAAUGAUGUAAUCUUAUUUACCAAAUGACAACUCUUUUUCCAUGGCUAGGAAACUUAACCAUCUUUGAUUAACGAGCUAGUCAAGUAGAGGCUUACUAGUGACAGUCAGUUUGUUUAUGUAUUCACACAUGUACUAAGUUUCCGGUUAAUUCAAUUCUAGCAUGAAUCAUAAACAUUUAUCAUGAUAUAAGGAAAUAUAAAUAACAACUUUAUUAUUGCCUCUAGGGCGUAUUUGCUUCAAAACUCUCGCAUGGCCUUGUGGCUAGGCAAUAGUGGUAGACGAGGACGUGGUGGCGCACGCACAUCUGAGCGACGGCGACCUUGGGACGAGACCCGGCACGAGCGCGGUUGUACUCGAGGUCAAACCCGACCACCUUGUACUUCUCCUCGGCAAGCAACAGCUCCAUGAUGUGGACGGAGUGCUCCACCCAGACCGGGUCAUUGGUGUACACCACCAAGAGGUCCAUGAACCUUCUAUGGGUGUCCACCACGGCACACAUGGUGAACUGCUGCUCGUCGUCGGCAGCCGCUCAGAGUGCCGUUAGAGCCGCGCAGGAUACCCUCUAAGAAUUUCUCGUGGUGGGUGUGCUUCUUGCAAUGGUGGGGCGCGAUCGAAAGGUUGAUGAGACACAAGGGUAGGUUAAAUGGCCGAUGUAAUAAAUGGGGGCCGACCGGCCUAUAAUCGUCACGUCUUGUCAUGCCGUUCAUAGCAGAGGAUUCCAGAUGAUAGAGGCGGAGGUGUCCCGUCUUUCGAUGAGAUGAUGGAUUUUCGCUUUGGUGGAAGUCGACUUUGACGAUCCGACUACGAACGUGCGAGGACGUCGCGCCUUAGCAAUCGCUAAACCAACUCCGAGAGGUUAUUGACCACGCCGGAGCAUGAUCAACCUGACCACGAGGGUCUGAUUCCUGCGAGCAAACAAAGAACAAGCAAGAAUCUGAGAUUGCAAUCUGGAUAUUGCGAAUAUAAGAUGAAAGCUUUAUUGAUCAAGGUGGGGUUCUGUGACGCCUUUGUCUGGUCGUUGAACACAAACAAAGUACGCGAAGUUGCAGCUAUGGCGAACUUUAAUCUAAACAAAAACCACAGUCUAAACGGUGCCCUAAGGGCUGUAUAUAUGGAGGAAGAGAGGGGGAAUUUCGUGGCCCUUGGUGGAGGGGUCCGCAAUCAACCCUAUCUCUUGUUUCUCCACACAUACAGACUCUAGAAAUAGCCUAUACUUAUGUAUUUCGAAAUUACAUGGGCCUGGCCCAAUAAAAAGGUGACGCAGCACCUAUAAUAGCCUCUGGACGAAAUUUAUGAAGUGACAUCUUGUAUAUUUCGUCCAAGGCUUCAUGCACUCGUUAUGGUGGCUUCAAAGACCUGAAAUCAUCACUUGUAACUCUGUUCUUGUUCCCUUGCGCAUGCCAUCAUCUCCAUGCUUGUUCUUGCUCCAAUGUUCAUCCUUCUCCAAGCUAGGCCCUUCAUUUGUAAGCAAAACAAAUGUAUCCAAUUUAGGCAGCAUCAUAUUCUCAUGAACGUUAGAAUCAUUACCAAGAAACGAAAGUACCUGGUAAUUUAGUUGGCGUGCGCGAGCUCUAGUAAUUGGUCCAGUAUGUAUAGCAGCAGGGGCUGUGGGUGUAACAAUGGUAUUGAUGUCCUCAUCAUCCUCCCCUUCUUGAAAUGAAGUCGUCCUCGACGGAAGCUCAUCUUCCUCACCCAAAUAAGGCUUCAAAUCUGCAAUGUUAAAAGUGGGACUAACCCCAAAAUCUGCAGGCAGCUCAAGUUUAUAUGCAUUAUCAUUUAUUUUCUCUAACACCUUAAAGGGACCAUCAGCCCGUGGCAUGAGCUUUGAUUUGCGCAAAUCAGGAAAUCUAUCCUUACGCAAAUGUAACCAAACAAGAUCUCCAGGUGCAAACACAACAUGUUUUCUACCCUUAUCUCCAGCAAGUUUAUAUUUGGCAUUCAUACGCUCAAUGUUUUCCUUAGUUAACUCAUGCAUUUUUAAAAUCAAUUCAGCACGUUGUUUAGCAUCAAAAUUAACCUUCUCCGAAGAUGGAAGAGGCAACAAAUCAAUAGGUGCACGAGGUAGGAAACCAUACACAACUUCACAAGGGCACAUCUUAGUAGUAGAAUGCAAUGAACGAUUAUAAGCAAAUUCAAUAUGAGGCAAGCAUUCCUCCCACAUUUUCUUAUUACUCUUCAAAACAGCCCUAAGCAUAGUAGACAAUGUUCUAUUGACUACUUCAUUUUGGCCAUCAGUUUGGGGGUGACAAGUAGUACUAAAAAGCAGUUUAGUCCCCAACUUAGCCCAUAAACAUCUCCAAAAGUGGAUAAGAAAUUUAGUAUCACAAUCUGAAACAAUAGUAUUUGGCACACCAUGCAAGCGAAUAAUUUCACGAAAGAACAAAUCAGCAACAUUAACAGCAUCAUCGCUUUUAUGACAUGGUAUAAAGUGUGCCAUUUUCGAGAAUCUAUCCACGACAACAAAUAUGCUAUCCCUCCCCUUCUUUGUUCGAGGUAAACCUAAAACAAAGUCCAUAGAUAUAUCCUCCCAAGGAACACUAGGUACAGGCAAAGGCAUAUAUAAACCAUGAGGAUUGAGUCGUGACUUAGCUUUUUGACAUGUAGUGCAGCGAGCAAUAAAACACUGAACAUCCAGUCUCAUCUUUGGCCAAAAGAAAUGUGUAGCAAGUACGUCCUCCGUCUUCUGCAUGCCAAAGUGUCCCAUUAAUCCUCCUCCAUGCGCCUCCUGCAACAACAAAAGACGAACGGAGCUAGCUGGAAUGCAUAGCUUGUUAGCAUGAAACACAAAUCCAUCGUUAACGACAAACUUGUUCCACAUUCUUCCUUCUUUACAAUUCUGCAUUACAUCUUUAAAAUCAGCAUCAUGCACAUAUUGAUCUUUGAUGGUCUCCAAACCAAAUAUUUUGAAGUCAAGUUGUGAAAGCAUAGUAUAGCGACGAGACAAUGCAUCAGCAAUAACAUUUUCUUUUCCCUUCUUGUGUUUAAUGACAUAAGGGAAAGUCUCAAUGAAUUCAACCCAUUUAGCAUGUCUACGAUUCAGUUUAGCUUGACUUUUAAUAUGUUUCAAAGAUUCAUGAUCAGAAUGUAUAACAAAUUCUUUGGGCCAUAAAUAAUGUUGCCAUGUUUCUAAAGUCCGAACAAGAGCAUAUAAUUCUUUAUCAUAAGUAGAAUAAUUUAGACUAGGCCCACUCAAUUUUUCAGAAAAGUAUGCAACAGGUUUGCCAUCUUGUAAUAACACACCUCCUAAUCCAAUUCCACUAGCAUCACAUUCAAGCUCAAAAGUCUUAUUAAAAUCAGGAAGUUGGAGUAAAGGAGCAUGUGUCAACUUAUUUUCAAUACCGAGAAGGCUUCUUCCUGUGCGGUACCCCAAAGAAAAGGCACAUCUUUCUUUGUAAGCUCAUUGAGAGGUGCAGCAAUGGUGCUGAAAUCUCUGACAAAACGCCUAUAGAAUCCAACGAGGCCAAGAAAACUCCUCACUUGGGUGACCGUUUUGGGCUGCGGCCAACUCUCAAUAGCUUCAAUCUUGGCUUUAUCAACUUCAAUUCCCUGUGGAGUAACAACAUAGCCAAGAAAAGAUACUCGGUCGGUGCAAAAGGUGCACUUCCCAAGGUUACCAAACAAACGUGCAUCACAUAGAGCAAUAAAAACAACACGUAAAUGUUCCAAAUGUUCUUCCAAAGAUCUGCUAUAAAUCAGUAUAUCAUCAAAAUAGACUACCACAAAUCGUCCAAUGAAAGCACGUAAAACUUUGUUCAUUAGUCUCAUGAAAGUACUAGGCGCAUUAGUUAACCCAAAAUGCAUGACUAACCACUCAUAUAAUCCAAACUUAGUUUUAAAUGUUGUUUUACAUUCAUCCCCCAAUUUCAUACGAAUUUGAUGGUAUCCACUACGCAAAUCAACUUUGGAGAAUAUUGUAGAGCCACUCAAUUCAUCAAGCAUAUCAUCUAGCCUAGGAAUAGGAUGACGAUAACGAAUAGUAAUAUUAUUAAUGCCUCUACAAUCAACACACAUACGCGAUGUACCAUCCUUUUUCGGCACUAGAAUAAUAGGAACAGCACAAGGACUAAGGGAUUCGCGUAUAUAACCUUUGUCGAGAAGCUCUUGUACUUGACGCAUAAUCUCCUUCGUCUCCUCUGGAUUGGUACGGUAUGGCGCACGGUAUGGCAGUGAAGCACCGGGAAUUAAGUCGAUCUGAUGCUCAAUCCCUCGAAUAGGUGGUAAUCCCGGUGGCACGUCUUGUGGAAAGACGUCAGUGAACUCCUGCAAAAUGUUAGUGAUAGCAGGAGGCAAAGAGGAAGGCACGUCCUCGAAUGAAAAUAAUGCCUCUUUGCACACAAAAGCAUAGCAAACAGAUUUGCUGAAAUCUAGCUCAUCAAUAUCAGAUUUGGUGGCAAAUAAACAUGCACUUUUCAAUUUAAUUUCAGAAGCAACACUAUUUAUUAUUAGGCUGCAUUUGUUGCUCAAAUUCUUUUGCCACAAUCUGAUUUUCACUCUUAUUCUUCUCCUGUUUUGCUUUAUUAGCUCUAUUAAUAUCAUCUUUCAAAAUGGAAUCAGGAGUCAUAGGAAGCAAAGUAAUUUUUUUAUCCUUAUGAACAAGAGUAUAGUGAUUGUUUCUACCAUGGUGUACAGAAUUUUUAUCAAAUUGCCAUGGUCUACCAAGUAAUAAGGAACAUGCUUGCAUAGGUACCACAUCACAAUCAACAUAAUCAGCAUAUGUAGAGAUACUAAAAUGCACACGAACAGUACGUGUUACCUUAACCUUGCCGCUGUUGUUGAACCAUUGGAUGUAGUAAGGAUGUGGAUGUGGUCUUGUGGUGAGAGAAAGCUUCUCCACCAUCUCCAUGCUAGCCAAGUUGUUGCAGCUCCCUCCGUCUAUGAUGACGCGCACAGAACGUUCCUUCACAACUCCCUUGGUAUGGAACAAAUUGUGCCUCUGAUUUUGCUCAGCUUGUGUGACCUGCAGACUCAAAACACGUUGAGCAACUAAACAUUCAUACAUGUCAGCGUCUUCAGGAGCCAUGUAUUGCGUCUCGUGAUCAGAAUCAUCUCCACCAUGUUCUUCACGUGUAAUAAGAGCCAAAGUCUCCUCAUCAUAGUCACUAGCGGACUCAUAUCCACCAUCCGCGGUAGCAAUCAUCACACGCGGAGAUUUGCAUUCUCUCGCAUAAUGACCUCCUCCCUUACAACGACGACAAAUAAUAUCACUUGUGUGCCCUGUUGAUGCUAUGGAAGAAGAAGAACGUUGUGUAGGCCCCGCAGGUGCGCUCUUGGCAGAUAAUGGUGGUUGUGCCUAUUUUCUUGUAUCACGGCUGGAGGUGGCACCUGAUGUAGGUGCUGGUGCAGUUGAAGUAGAAGAUGCACGUGGUGUCCAUGAUGAAGGUCGUCCUGCAGAAAAGUUAGUUCGCCCCAAUGCUUGUCGAUCCUGCACUUCACGUUCAGCUUUACAAGCAAGAUGGAAUAAACGAGUGAUAUUAGUAUACUCCUUAUAGUCUAGAAUGGUCUGAAUCUCUCUAUUUAAUCCACCCAGAAAACGUGCAAGCAUAGCUUCAUUCUCCUCAACAAUACCACAUCUAAUCAUGCCAGUUUGUAAUUCCUGAUAAUAUUCUACUACAAAAUUUUUCCCUUGUCUUAAAUGCUGCAAUUUUUGAAGCAAUUCACGUUGAUAAUAUGGUGGAACCCAACGCGUACACAUAGCAGUUUUCAAAGCAGCCCAAGUAGUUGGAAUAGGAUAUAAUCUACAAUGUUCAGACCACCAUACACAUGCAAAACUAGUGAAAGCACAAACAGCAGCAGCAACUCGUCUCUCCUCAGGAUAUUGUAAACAUGUAAAUCGUUGUUCAGUUUCUAACUCCCAAGUAAGAUAUAUAUCAGGAACAUAUCUACCCUCAAAUGGUGGGAUAUUCAAUUUCAGUUUAGGAAUAUGGACAUCAUCUCGUACCUGAGGUGGUGGUGCAGGCCAACCAUUACGAAUAUAUACCUGAGGUCGACCUGCUGGUGGUGGUGCAGGUGACUGCACGUAGUGCUGAUUUUGAUAAACCUCAUCCUCAUAAUCUCCCACAUAAUCAUCCUCCUCCGCAUCAGCAGCAGGAGCCACAGAAGUAUCAACAGCAGCACCAACAGUUUGGCCAAACGCAAGAGGAACACGGCUCGCUCGGCGAAGGUCUGUUUCGCGACGUGGAGGUAGUCGUUGUUGUUGUUGUUGGAGAGGUGCGUUAGGUGCAGCGGGUGGUGGUGGUGGAAGACGCGCGAGCAAUUCAUUAAACUUGUUAUCGAGCUUUGUUUCGAACGUCUUCUCCAUGCCAUCUAUCUUCUCCAUGGCCUCUUCAAAUCUGUUUAGCACAUCUUGCACCUGUCCACUCAUCAUUUGCUGAAAUUUAUCAUGCAAAUCCUUGUUCGUCAAGUUCUCCCAGUCAGUCUCGUCGGCUUGUGAUCCUGGCAUGGUUAGCAGCAAUAGAAACACACAAGAAUAUGAUCCUACAGACUACUAACAAGAGGUGGUGGCGGGUGUCACAAAUCCGUCAAGCAAAUCUCAAAUUCUUACCAGUUCUUACCCAGCAGCAGGCGGUGAUCGACAACCGUUGUAGUCAAAAACUCUCAAAGCUUGGAUAGAGCGAUUACUAGGGAGAGUCAAAUGCACGACGUAGAUGUAUGUGGAGCUGGGAAGGCUUAUAAUAUGGUAGCAAAAAGGGUCAGCAAUAAUCAAUUCAGAGAUGCAAAGUUGAAUAAACGCUCAACGACGGUACUGUGCUGGUCCUAGGCUAGACUGUGCUAGAGACGCGAGCCUAGAACACCAACAAAAUCACGGCGCGGCACGUAAACAAGGGAAAAAGCACACUCUGGAUUUUUUUUCGCUCCUUUUUUUUGCGCUGUUUUUUUUGCGCUGCUUUUUUUCCGAAAAAUCACUAUAAUGGCGAGUGUCUCAAAACUCUUCCUAUGUCAAACUGACAGGAUGGGCACGAAAUUUUUUCGACCAAUUUUUUUUUCGACUGCCCGGACCCAAAAACUGGAAACGCGUCAAAAAAAACUUCCUAUAAUGGCACCUGUCUCAAAACACUCAGAAACACCUAAAAAUAGGAUAGCCAGAAAUUUUUUCGACAAAUGCGUUUUCGAAAAAUUUUGGGCCUAAACGGAGGGUGGUUUCCGGACUCUUUUUUUUCCAAAACCUACUCCGGCAAGGAAACACGAAUCGGAAUCUCGAAAACAAACCUAAUAUGACAAGAACUCGGAUUGGUGGUGGAUAUAUGGUGGUAAAUGGCAGCGGUGGUAGUAUAUGACAGCGGUGGUGUUAUAUGGAUACGGAUUCGAAGCGGUGGCGGAUAAGCGGUGGUGGUAUAUGGAUACGGAUUCGAAGCGGUGGCGGAUAAGCGGUGGUGGUAGAUGGCAGGGGCGAUGAUGAUGGUGCGGCGGCGGCGUGACAACUUAUGACCAGAACUCGAAACUCUAAAAGACUAGACUCUAAGACCAGCAACUAGACACGACGAUGCAACCGCAAAUUCAACAA
rnacentral:lncRNA from 1 species